GUGGGGAAUCUUAGACAAUGGGCGCAAGCCUGAUCUAGCCAUGCCGCGUGAGCGAUGAAGGCCUUAGGGUUGUAAAGCUCUUUCGCUGGGGAAGAUAAUGACUGUACCCAGUAAAGAAGCCCCGGCUAACUCCGAGCCAGCAGCCGCGGUAAUACGGAGGGGGCUAGCGUUGUUCGGAAUUACUGGGCGUAAAGCGCGCGUAGGCGGAUUGGAAAGUUGGGGGUGAAAUCCCGGGGCUCAACCUCGGAACUGCCUUCAAAACUCCAAGGCUUGAGUUCGAGAGAGGUGAGUGGAAUUCCGAGGGUAGAGGUGAAAUUCGUAGAUAUUCGGAGGAACACCAGUGGAGAAGGCGGCUCACUGGCUCGAUACUGACGCUGAGGUGCGAAAGCGUGGGGAGCAAACAGGAUUAGAUACCCCGGUAGUCC
rnacentral:rRNA from 1 species